GUCGGGCGUGGAGGCGCACACCUGUAAACCCAGUGGCUCGGGAGACUGAGGCAGGAGGAUCACAAGUUCAAAGCCAGCCUCAGCAAAGGUGAAGUGCUAAGCAACUCUGUGAGACCCUGUCUCUA
rnacentral:sRNA from 1 species